UAAUUGAUUCCUUUGUUGAAGUAGAGAUCAUUGGUUUGCCAUUGGACUGCUGCAAAGAACAGUCCAGAGUUGUUGAUGAUAAUGGAUUCAACCCUGUUUGGGAGGAGACAAUAACUUUCACCCUUCACUUGCCCGAGCUGGCUUUAGUUCGUUUUCUGGUCUGGGACCAUGAUCCAAUUGGGCGAGAUUUUGUUGGGCAAAGAACUGUGGCCUUCAAUAGCCUCAUGCCUGUGCUCGGGCAGUGACCAUGUACUGCACCGCACAGCCAGCGCUCCUGCAAAGGGCCACAAAAAGAACAAAAUGGGUUUCACUGAAGUCAGCAAUGACAUAAAGGAGAAUGAACCUGACACUCUGAGUCUGGAGCUGCCUGGGAAAAGCAAGACCAACAACAUGCCGACAUGUCCAGUAUCCAUGCCAGUCGAUAAACCUCUCAAUGGAGGACUUGAGUUGCAGUCCUGUGAACGAUCCUGAGGCGAAAGGCACUGAACUGAUAGAAAACUGACUAAGAAACUCCAGCAGGAAGAUCUACUGACACAGCAGGCCAUGUAGAAAGGAUCAGGUCUGCAUCCAUUGAUGUUUUGAUUGAAACCCAACCUUCAGCUCAAUCUGAUGAUGAGACGCCCACAAAUGCAGUUUACAAAUACUGAAAAAAAUUACCCACACGCAAAGCCCUUGAAACUGAUAAAACCUUGUACCUUGAAAUUGGAGGAAAUGACGUAGAGGAAUGUUUAGGAGCCCCACUUCAAAAUGAGAUCACAAACACAUCUGCUGAAGAAAGUGUCACAGAUGACACAGUAUGGCACAAAUCAGACAUCAGUGCUUCAAAACAAAAACACCCAGGGACCAAGAAAGACACACAAGAAGUUUGCAGCCCCAAACAUUCAGCUAAACCUGACAACCUGCAUGUAACAACAGUGUCACUUCCAUUUUGACUGUUGAUGUGUCUUCAGCAAUCUGUCUUAAUUAGACAGGAACCGGGUCUUCUAAUGGGACAAUGCAGGACAGUACAAUUUCCAGACUUAUCAAUGCUGUUUCUUUGGGUAAUGUAAGUGGGAUGGGUUCUAUCUCUGCAUUAAUCAGUCAGUUUGACACUACAGAUAACAAGACCAACCUUACUAACAUUUCAAGCAUUCACAGAACCAAUAAUCACAUUUUUAGCUUAAUGUCAGGCUUUUCAAAUAUGUGCACCUUGGAGCCUAACUCUCCACAGAAACCAUUGUUGACAAAUAAAAGACCUAAGGAUUCUUUGUUGAGCUCAACAAUAGGCACUGCAGUGUUUUCUAGCCCUGAGACAACAGAACACUCCAUGUACACAAUACUCAAUGAAAAUAUCCUGUCUCCUGCCUCAGUGUAUAACCUCACAAAGAGGACAAUACAAGGAGCAAACAUGGAUCCUUAAGAUCAUACACUUGAUGGCAGUUCUUGCUCUUCCCCUGUGAAAACAGUACACCCCAGACAAGAAAAUACUGAAGCAAGCUGGGUUCCCCUGGAGACUCACAGGUUAUAUAACCAUGCUGCUUCUGUCCAUCUCCAGGUAUGUGCAGACUCUGCUGGAAGCAGCCUAAUGGAGGUAGAGACUGAUGCUGAUGAUGAAUUACAGGACUUUACAUUAACAUCAUCUAGUAAAUUAAAUAACAAAUGGCCUAGACAAACAACAUCUCCAUAUGAAGGAUCACCUUAUGGCAGGCAUAAAAGCAGUAGUUCAUAUCAUGAUAGCUACCAGCUGUUAGAAAACUACAGGACUUGAAACAGUAACAUGUAUCACUGCAGCUAUCGAAUGUCAGACGAUAUCAGAACCAAAAAGAAUAAUACUUAUCAUAGGGGCUGUUAUUUUAGUGAAAAUAUGAGAUCUCAAAUCAGUGAUAGAUGCUCUGGUGGUUAUCCAUUGUCAGGAGAUAUCAGCGCUCAAAACAAUAGUAGAUGCUAUGAUAACGACCAAUUGUUAGAAGAUAUCCAAGCUUCCAGAAAAAUGACCCUUUCUCAUGAGAAUGGCUACUAUACAUUUAACCAUAACAGUCAAGAGUUAAGUAAUGUUUUUCAUGACCCGGUUACUCCAAAGGCAUAUCAUGAAGGGUUUCCUGUUUCCAAAAGGCCCGUUGACCGACUGCAUGCCUAAUUGGAACAAUCAUCAGAAGGGCAGCACAUAAUUAGGCAUCCAAGCCCCUGCAAAUCCAAGAGCCUUGGGGAUCUGACAUCAGAGGACAUAUUGUGCAACUUUGAGAGCAAAUACAUCAGCAGAAGUUUUGUUACCCCUGUGUGACAGAAAUAUCAGUUCUGGUGACGAAUCUUCCUCCCGACCUGUGAGGGCGCUAAAGAACGAGAG